AGCGAACGCUGGCGGCAGGCUUAAUACAUGCAAGUCGAGCGCCUGUAGCAAUACAGGAGCGGCAGACGGGAGAGUAACACGUGGGAACGUGCCCUUUGGUUCGGAACAACACAGGGAAACUUGUGCUAAUACCGGAUAAGCCCUUACGGGGAAAGAUUUAUCGCCAAAGGAUCGGCCCGCGUCUGAUUAGCUAGUUGGUGGGGUAAUGGCCCACCAAGGCGACGAUCAGUAGCUGGUCUGAGAGGAUGAUCAGCCUCAUUGGGACUGAGACACGGCCCAAACUCCUACGGGAGGCAGCAGUAGGGAAUAUUGGACAAUGGGGGCAACCCUGAUCCAGCCAUGCCGCGUGAGUGAUGAAGGCCUUAGGGUUGUAAAGCUCUUUCGGCGGGGAAGAUAAUGACGGUACCCGCAUAAGAAGCCCCGGCUAACUUCGUGCCAGCCGCCGCUGUAACAC
rnacentral:rRNA from 1 species